AUACGAGUUAAUAAAUGCAUUGCACAUAAAAUAUACCUUAAUUACAGGGUACCAAAUGUAAAACGUUACAAUAACACUAGUUAAAAGAGUAAAAGAAAAUGCUCAGGUUGUCUGCGACCAUGAGUGGUACAUGCUUCAAUGAGGGAAGUUACAAGCGGUUAGAAUUAUUCGCUGAAGGUCUGCUAGUCAGGGAGAAGGCCCUAUGUGAGUAUAGUUGGACCCAGUGAGGCGUUGUGUUAUGCCAGUGGUGCAUAGAGUGCCCAUGGGUGCCAUAUUUUAUGAGAAUGCGAGUUUAGGGAAAGGCAGUUAGUUCUUCCAUCUGCUUACUAUCUACUCUUUGUCUCCAUUCCAUUAUUGGGGGUACUUGAGGGGACCACCAAUGAAGGGGGAUCAGCAACUUUGCCACUAGUAGCAAUAGUGGUAAGCAAGAUUUUUUCAGUUUAGCUAUAGAAAUAUCUGUAUGCAGGACUAAACUUUCUGCAGGACUGAAUGAUAUCUGGUGGCCACUACUUGACUGAAUGAGAGGAAUGAUAUCUUCCCAGAAU